GUUGAAUUAAUGAACAGAAUAUUUUUUAAAGAUAUUUUCAGAAAAGAGAAAGGAAAUAACAUGCCUCUAGAAGAAGUACAACAAUCCAGGAAGUACAAGAAAGAGGAAGGAUGGAAGAAAGGAAGACAAAAAUUGUAAGGAAGAAGAUUAAAAGAGAGAGAGAGACGUUAACAGGACAAACUAGAAAUAUAGGCUUCUGGGAGAGGAGACAUCUGUACACGACCUGGGACGGGAAUCGAGACCCAGGAUGGGAAGGGGGUUGGAGCAGCUCUCAUAACUUACAGGAAUUCUUGGCCACGCCUCUGCAGCCCAAAGACUCUGUUUGCUCUCCAGUUCCUGCCUCCAGGCCGCAGCACCGGCCUUGCCCGCACUGGGGUGCCCUCCAUCCCUCCUGUGCCCUCACGGCCCCAUUACAAUGCAGGUCGAUACUGCCACCCCCGCCGAAGGUUUCCAAGCCAGCUCACCCACAGCCCAGAUUUAUCCUCUCUGUGGACACACACCUCCUUCCAUUCUUCACUUUUCUGUUACUGGUUUUGCAUGCUUCUUUGACUCAGUUAUCUCUGUUUAAAAUCUGUUUUUUUAUUCCUCAGUGACAUCAACCCCAAACACUCUACAUUCUACCAUAUGCUUUGCUGUGUGGUGUAGGGAAUAGAAAGGUGGGAGAUGUUCUGGGCUCACAAUCUAGAAGGUGAGACAGACCCAGGAGGCAGGCUGGGCCCACGAGAAGCCGCAGACUGACAAGCGGCAUGCAUGGGGAUGCGAGGAGACACAUUCUCAGGGGGCAAUGCUCUGGUGGCUCCUGCGGCCUGGCUGGCCUCUCCUGCUCUCUCGGGCGCUCACAGGGGUCGUUUCCACGGGGUUCUUCUACAGGACUUUAACGCCAGCAGCCACACCAUUGUGGUGUUAAGACCAUGGCGGGACAUUGCCAAUGAAACGUCCGCAAAACGGGGAGGAAGAUCAUGGAGGAGGCAGGGGCAGGGAGAAAAGUGGGAAGGCCAUUUAGCAGAAAAGCAAAAAUAUCUGUCAUUGAGAAUUUUGGAAUGUUUGUGCUGGAGGCAGAGAGGAGGAAAAUGUAAAAAGUCUGAAAAAAAAAAAAAGCCGCCGUCUGUCUGGGGCACCAGCACGCAGUCAUUCGAGACCACAGAGUGACACCUAGUGGACACCUGGGAAGAUGCUUCCUGCAGGGGAGCUCGGCGCCGCCCGCCCAAGUGGUUUCGUAGAGCUGGGGAUGCCGAGCGCAGGAAGGACCCGGGCCCGGUGCUCGCCGCUCGGAGCUGCCCCCGAUCCGCCCUGGGAGGACGCCCGGGGAGAGUGCUGUGCCGGGACUCCGGAGUCCAGUCCUGGCCCAGAUGCCAGCUGGGAGACCUCGCACGGGAAACUGUGUCUGUCGGGAAGCGGGGAGAGGCUCUUCCCUCGGCUCCACCGCUCUGGAUUCCCCCCUCUGCCAGCCCCCAGCCCCGCUCCGCACAGCCCCUGCCUCCGCUGUUCUGCCCGCCCUCCUUGGGGGACUGCGGUGAGCUCGGAGGACGGGCAAACUCCUGCGAGCAGAAGGCCCACCUUUCAAGUUUUCAUAUUACCUCCAACGCAAGGCUGAAUCCGAUCACCGAUGCCAAGCUACGGGCACAGUGCUUUGCUGGCGGUGAGCGCUCUAAGAAAGCUCUGUCGGAGGAAAGAGUCCUGGAUCUUGAGUCAGGAUUCCAGCCCCGUGUAAACACAAGCACCUCGGGAACUGGAGCCGAGGAGUUCUUCUAGAAAGUUCUAGACUGUUCCUUAGUCAAAAUUAGCCCCUUUACAAUUUUACCCCAUUUGUCCUUGUUCAGCCUUCUGAAGCGGUUCAGAAUAACUAUUUUUAUGCGACGCCUGCAAACACCUUUUAUGCUCCCUGUAAAUAUUGCCAUUUUGGGCUAAAUGUGCUCAACUUCAUUCUUUACAGCAGUGGUUCUCAAACAAGGAUUUUGCCCCUGAGGGCACAUGUGGCAGUGUCUGGAGACCUUUCGGUUGUCACACCUUGAGGAGGGAGGCUGCUACUGACAUCUAGUGGGCAGAGGCCUAGAUGCAGCCAACCUCCUGCAGGGCUCCCGGCGGGCCCCACCCCCACCACGCACACAAAGAACUAUCCAUUGCAGAAUGCACGCGUGCUGAGGUCGUGGAGCCCUGCUUGAGACAGCUGGGACUUCUUAGCAUCCCCGUCCAUUCUGCGGACGCUCUUCAUUCAUCGGCGACGUUUGUACCGCGAUGUGGUACAGAACUCCAGACCAGCUCUGACCAGCCUGGGCAUCUUGGGGUGUACACACGGGACGUCCCUCAGUGGAGCGUAGAGAUUAGAUCAACCCUCCAAGCAAUCUUUUGCUCAUAUGGCGAGUCUGUCCUUACUGUUUACGAACAAAGAACUUAUGGACAAACGUGCG
ensembl:lncRNA